GAGUUUGAUCAUGGCUCAGGACGAACGCUGGCGGCGCGCCUAACACAUGCAAGUCGAACGGAGAAAUGCUAAGCUUGCUUUGCAUUUCUUAGUGGCGGACGGGUGAGUAACACGUGAGCAACCUGCCUUUGUGAGGGGAAUAACGUCUGGAAACGGACGCUAAUACCGCAUAACGUCAAGGAACCGCAUGGUUUUUUGACCAAAGAUUUUAUCGCACAAAGAUGGGCUCGCGGCUGAUUAGCUAGUUGGCGGGGUAACGGCCCACCAAGGCGACGAUCAGUAGCCGGACUGAGAGGUUGAUCGGCCACAUUGGGACUGAGACACGGCCCAGACUCCUACGGGAGGCAGCAGUGGGGGAUAUUG
rnacentral:rRNA from 1 species